rnacentral:misc_RNA from 1 species
CCAAAAUUCUAAAGGUGCCUAGUUUACUAGGAUACCUGGGUAUUGAAAUAUAUACCACAUUUACCUUGUGUGCAAUGUAAUUUGUAUUGAUGGAUUUUUCAUCUGGGUUUUUUGCUUGGAUGGGAAGUCUGUAUAAACAUUUUAAGUUUUCUUAAGUCUGAAUAGUUUUUUUACAUGUUGAUAUUUUGCUUUAGUAAAAUAUUUAAAAUUGUUAAAA